UUUAUGGAGAGUUUGAUCCUGGCUCAGGAUGAACGCUGGCGGCGUGCCUAAUACAUGCAAGUCGAGCGAACAGAUAAGGAGCUUGCUCCUUUGACGUUAGCGGCGGACGGGUGAGUAACGAGUAAC
rnacentral:rRNA from 1 species